rnacentral:lncRNA from 1 species
CCUGACUCUAAAUCUAACCCCCAAACUCUCUCCAUUGCAGCCAUUGCGAAGUCGCCCUCUCCAUAUCUCCAGGGGAUCGUCGACCUUGCCUUCAGUUGGGAAAACACCAGCACUACUCCUCGAGAUCUCUACCCGGUUUCCUGUUAAGAACACUAUCCUCCAACUGUGGUGAUUUUCGAGGUGACCACUGAAGUACACCCGGCUACUGCCCAUCGUUACACCCCCUCCGUUGGCAAUAAAUGACCAGUGGAAUACCUCAUUCGUGUUGGGUAUGUAAAAAGAAGGCAAAACAAGUGAUUUUCCUUUUUUGUGAAUGUGUUAUAUGGUUCUAAAAUUGAUUCGGUUUAGCAUUUCCUAUGUGUGAGAUUUUGUGGUGUCUUCGUGUUAUACUACGAGUCCAUAUAUGUGAGAACGAAGAUGGGUGAGGAGCAGCACUUUUGAUAUGUUUCUGGGCAAUUGAAGUGUCUGGCAGUAAGAUAACCUUUUUUUUUCAAAUCAAACACGUAAAUUCCAGUGAUUGUUUUGAUAUUUCAAAAAUUCUGGGUUGUGAGAAUACUGAAAGUGGCUAUUUCUAUGAUUUUUGUACUAGCUUAUUGUUUAAAUGUUGUUUGAACUUAUGAUUUUUUACACACGUAUAACGGAGGCCUGACUUUUACAUACAAUGUCAUUGUGAGAAAGUAAAAUAUAAGCUCACUUGAUGAUAGGCAUUGUGGAUUGAAGGCUCAUUGCUUAAGUUUCGUUUGAGCUUAAAAAUACACGCCAGUUGAACUUUAAUGGCAGAAUUAUUCUGUAAUUUGAAUUAGACAUUGAAUUAGUUGCACCAUUCAUUGGUUCUUUUAUGUGGUUGAACCAGGAUACUUGGAUGGCUGGCAAGAAUAUGGGAAUUUGUCAUUGUUGUAGAAUGCCAGGACAUAUGAUGUCAGAAUGCCCCAAAAAGAGAAGAUGCCUCAACUGCAGUGUAGGAUUCAUCAAAUGGAUGGAGGUGGAAAAGAACAAUGAACAUAAAGGGCUAUUGUUUCAUUGUUUUACCCGCGACUACAAGUUUUUCAAAUGGUAUAAAAAUAAGCCCGAUGAAAAAUGUACAUUGCAUGACGAUGGGGACUCAAGUGCAUUAAAAACGAAGCAAAGCAUACGGAUGAUUUGUCGCAUAUGUUGAAAUAGCACGCUAAGCUAACAGAUAAGAAAGACUUGGAGAUUUUCCUGAACAUAAAGAUGCGCACGGGGACACGAGUUUCGGAAGAUGAGAAGGACUUAGAGAUUUUCCUGAACUGUGAGUCAUACACUAAUCUAUAUAUACAUGAAAAAAUGGAGCUCUUAUCCACAUGGUAUCCAAAUUUUUCAGGCAACUUCUUCAAUAUAUGCCACAGACACCAUCUAUGCCUCAUAUUUGAAAACACAAUCUGAAUUGAAUUCUGCAUAGCCCUAACUUGAUCGGUAAUAAUUCCAUUUGGAGCUUGACCAUGCAUCCAUGCACAACAUCCAUGUUCUGAACAGCCAAACAUAUAUAUCAGUAUCCUCAUUUGAUAGCAACCUACAUCCAAGUAAUAUCAAUUGUCCGUGAUGAUUUACUCUGACAAAAGGGGCAUGUCAUAUUUAUGAGUCAAGUAAGUGGUAUUGAAUGUCACUGCAUCACCGAAUUCCUUAUAUGCUUGCCUAUAUCUAUUAUCGGCCCAGAAAAGAUUCUUAAGCCAUGACUCGUCAUCCAAAUCCAUAUGGAACCCAGAGGAACGUGCUUGCAUCUCCAAAAAGUAGGAUUAUAUUGCGUGGCAUCUCCUUUGCCUAGUCUUAAUCACCUCACUUUUUCUACAUAAUUUCGACAAUCAUUUUCAAUGCAAGUCAUAUUCUCAUAUCCACCAGUUUCAACCACUACAAAGUUGUAAUUAUUAUGCAAAGAAAUUCCUGCCAUAUCAUUCACUUCUAGCCUUUGUUCUACAUGUACACUCAAUUCUCGAUUGCAUCGAUACAACCUGGACUUCAACGAACUUGUUUUAUGGAUUAUGCUUGAGGUCAACCAUGCAGAUUCUCCAUAUUCCACGAACAUCUGAGGAAAUAGUUAUCCUCUGAAUUGUUGGUUGCGACUUCAAAGAAAUGCCUUUUUGGUAGCAUAGUUGUCCCUCACAACUAUAUGUCAGUGUAACGUAUGUAACUACAUUAUUGUUCUUUCUGGAAUUUCUUCUUCAAACCGAAAAACCUACUUCGUAUGCAUAUUUUUUGUAAAAUUCAAACAACUCUUUCUCGUCUUUGAAUUUCAUACCCACCUCUAGCACAAUUGUAGCAUCCCCUUCUACAUUAUCAUCUUUCAAUGUGAUUACAUUGUCCAUCAAGUUCUCAUCGUCGGAUUCUACCAAUACUUCAUCAACCAAUACUUCCAUUAUUUCUUUUCUUGCAUCGUAAUCGACAAAGCCAAAUGUUAAGCAUUACUUAUUCAUCAUUUUAGGACAAAUAUUCAAUUUUGAAAUACAUAGAGCAUUCAAGUACAAGCAAAACUUUUUAGUUCUAGAUUUGUUAUCUGCGGUUAAUUUGUAUAGAUACUUGUAUAAAAAAUCUCCAUCUCCCUCUCCCUCUCCCUCUCCCUAUAGGAAACAGUUAUGCUACACAGAGACACUAGACCAAGACAAUUAGGUUGAAAAUGGCAACAAGCAGUCUCUUUUAUUCCAUAGGGUUAUAAACACAACUACUGCACAG